AAUAAAUUAGGGGGCAAAGCCGAGGUUCAUGUCACUCAUGAGACUUCAAAAAUCUUUAAUUUAGUAAAUUGAAUACUUUCCUGAGCUAAAUUAUAGAGAGGAACUGGACAUGUUACUUGGGGGGGUCUCAGAAAGAGAUACCUGAAUCAGUGCCUAUAAUUUUUUUUUUCAGAUGCAGCAGACCAUGAAGCCAUUCAAGAGAAAAAAAAUCUAAAAGGAGAACUCAGUAUUUUGGCAACGACCUAGGCUUCCCCGAAUUGUGAGUUGAUUACCGUCGUGAUUUCCUCACGAGCACAUGAUAAGGUGACAGUUUUCCAUGCGACAGCAUGCCUGUGGACUACCUGGCGACCACUGCAGUGUUUCCCAAAGGGUUGCAUGCUUUCUAGCUGCUCAGUUUGAUGCCAGGUGCACCACAGUGUCCACCUCCUCUGCAGAGUGGGAAGUCGCUGCGCUGCCAAGGCAAAUGUCAGGAGGUCUUGUCCUGCUGGGCUUCUCCUCAGAGGACUUUCCAAGAGUUUCACCUACAUGAAGAGCAGGAGGCUGUGGAGCAAAUAAGAGAAGAGCCACUGUUCCCCCCGGGUACCUGCAGAGGAGCCGAUCUGCCUGCAGGUCCAUUGACUCCCGGAUGUGAGCUGCACGGCAUCAGUGCCUCUGGACGCUUGACACUUCUUCAUACGGAGGUGAGUGAUGAGCCACAACACUGGCAGCAGGAAACAGGACAAGCUUUAGGUCUUCUCCAGGAUCAAGCACCUUCAUAUCUGUUCCCUGGGUUCUCAUGGGUGCAGAGAAGGGAUUUCUCCUUGUACUGAGCCAAAUUUCAUUCACCCAGCUUUCCUGGCUGUUUCCUCUUCACUCUGUGGAAGUCCUGCAUAAAGAGGUGUGGGUUAAACCUGACACGUUGUCAGGAAUGCUUCACGUUCCAAAUUUAUGGAGCUGAACGGGGGAGCAAAUGGCCAACAUGCUGUUCGGGAAAGUGUUUGUGACAGGGAGCUGAGGAAGAUUUGAAAGAAAUAUUCUCCAAAGAUAGCCAAAACACCCAGAGACUUGCUCUGAGUUAUGCUUCAGCCUACCAGUUAAUAUGCUUGUGCUGCCCGCUCGUUAAUUGGUAGGGAAGGGGGAGGAAGAAUCCAGACUUGGCAAGCUGGUGCUGCAGACAGAUUUUGUCAGAUGAAAUCCUAAUAGACAUUAGUCCAACAUCAACAGCUCCUGAGCUGUCAUAUGGGAAUAUGCAAGAAAAAGAUAAAACCAACAACCUAAAGGAUGGAUCCUCUAUUUUAAGGGGCAGAGAAGGGAACCUGACUAAUGGAAUUUUUUCUUUUAUUUGUAGAGUUGUGCAGAGAAACAAUGGAAAAUGUUGGUUCCAGCGGAUACAGUUCUGUCUUUUCUUGAAUUCUGAACCUCAUUUAGUUCAGAGUUGCUUAACAUCUCUCUCUCUUGCCUUUACUUACUUGUGAACAGGGGUUUAUCUUAUCUGCCAAAGCCUCAGAGGAGUUGUGAGGGCAGAAUUUGGAAAAGAAUUUGCUAUCUCUGCAAAAAAUCCACAAGUGACCGUGGAAAAAAAUCCCAGACCUACCAUAGCAAAACUCCAGCACAAGUCGAGUAUUUUCUGGAAGUGAAGCGUCCUGUUACAUAAACAUCCUUGAAGCUUUGCAGAAGGGGUGACGUUCACAUCACAUAUGUGGGGCCUGACUAAUUGGGCUUUGUGUGAGAGGAGUGGGGAUGGGGAGGACAAGGAAGUGAAAUCCCCAAGGUGCAAGCAGGGCCUCUUCUUCCCAUGGCCUGUACUGCCGCUUACAUGUUGCAAAGGGG
rnacentral:lncRNA from 1 species